rnacentral:rRNA from 1 species
CAGCCGCCGCGGUAAUACGUAGGGUGCAAGCGUUGUCCGGAAUUAUUGGGCGUAAAGAGCUCGUAGGCGGUUUGUCGCGUCUGCUGUGAAAACGCGAGGCUCAACCUCGCGCCUGCAGUGGGUACGGGCAGACUAGAGUGUGGUAGGGGAGAUUGGAAUUCCUGGUGUAGCGGUGGAAUGCGCAGAUAUCAGGAGGAACACCGAUGGCGAAGGCAGAUCUCUGGGCCAUUACUGACGCUGAGGAGCGAAAGCGUGGGGAGCGAACAGGAUUAGAUACCCCCGUAGUCCCUGUCUCUUAUAC